UACGUAGGGUGCGAGCGUUGUCCGGAAUUAUUGGGCGUAAAGAGCUCGUAGGCGGUGUGUCACGUCGGCCGUGAAAACCUGCAGCUUAACUGUGGGCGUGCGGUCGAUACGGGCAUCACUGGAGUUCGGCAGGGGAGACUGGAAUUCCUGGUGUAGCGGUGAAAAUGCGCAGAUAUCAGGAGGAACACCGGUGGCGAAGGCGGGUCUCUGGGCCGAUACUGACGCUGAGGAGCGAAAGCGUGGGGAGCAAACAGG
rnacentral:rRNA from 1 species